GCUUUGCCUGAGAGCUGCGAGGAUGGGAGUAAAUUGCCGCUUGCACUGGAGGUGUUUGUGGGCCAGAUGAGACGGGAUGGCACUGUCCCUGCCCUGCGCGUGGGAGGUGUGCCUUCCCCUCCUGCCGGGGACAGAGACAUGGUGGCUGGGGGCGUAUCCGGGCCCCUCUUCCCCGGGUUUCACCUGUUUUGGCUUCUGAGGACUACCUGGCUGCUAUUCACUGCCUGUACGAGGAGUGGCUCAUCAAAGGGAGUCUUUUUCCCGUGGCUGCCCCUGUUCUGGUGAUUGAGGCGGACCACAACAUGCAGAAAAUGUUAGAACUCCUUGAACAAAACCGUCACCGAAUACUAACUCCAGAGAAUCGGAAGCUUGGUCCAUAAGAUGGGAAAGAUCCUGCCAGAAAAAUGCCUGCUGCUGCCAAGCUGGCUAUGAGGAGCAAUUUGGGAAAAACCCGCUCUCGGGAGGGCUUUCUGUCUGGCCACAUUUGUCUUCCUAAUGGUCUUCUUUCCUCGCCAGUGUCUUUAUCCUGGGUUUCUGGCCUCCUGGGUAGAUGGCAUAAUGGGACCCAUGGGUUUGGCCUGCCCUUUGGAGCUCGUAGCCUUGCGUUUCCCGGACGCCUCUCCUGGUGGUUUCUCACCACUGGAUCCCUCUAAGUAAGGGCAGAGCCCCCUGACUUAGGCUGGACCCAUGGUCUCUAGUCCUUCAGACCCCCUGGGAGGGCGAGGUGGUCGGCUUACAUCCCAGAGGAGGAAGUUGAAGCUCAGCGAGGCUAAGGAACUCCCUAGGGUCACUUAGCCAGUGACAGUGGAGUCAGCACCAUUCAGACUUGGUGACUCCCAGAUGACCUCUCGCCCCAGGCUGCCCCCUCCUGAGAGCCCUGCCUGCCCUGCCGGAGACCCUCACGCAUGCGUGCGGAGGGCCAGCUGUGCAUGGAGCUGGCAUCGUCUCUCAAUCUGAGCAGUUCCCAAGGACAGUUAGCAUUUCUAGGCUUUCACAAAAUUGUGCCGUGUUUGGCUGGAGCCUGGUGUUCAGCAGUUCUCUAGCGGGAGGCCAGGGUGGCACCUACCACCUUGUCAUUGGGACUUCCUGAUCCUUGGCUCCUGAAUGGUGCUUGGUCUCCUUGGUGACAACAUUCCUGCUUGAGCUGCUGCUGAUUUCCUGUCGGCAGUGGCUUGUGGCCCCAGGCUGGUGUGUGCGGUGCUGCCCUGGGGCAGGAGGCCACCACCUGGCUUCUGAGGCUCUGACUCCACAGUGGCCUCGUGUGAGGAGCUUUGGCCUGGAAUUCUUGGGAGUGUGUGGCCCAGGGCGGAGACACAAGUGGCCUUAAAUCUUUUUUGAAAUGUUCUUCUAUCCACGGGGACCCCUUGGGCCGUAGAGCAGGAAACUUGCGUUAAGUUCAGAGACUGUCCUAGCUCCGCUCGGCUGUAGCAGCGCCUUGAAGGCACGGCUGUCUCCUGCGUCAGGUGGAAGCAAGGGAAGGGAAGAGCUGCUCUUUGGGGACAGUCUGGACCGGAAGUCGAGCUUGAAAGCAAAGGCUCUCGGAGCAUUGGUGCUCCUGAUGUUUGGAGGUGGGUGGAGGGAGCUUCCAGAGGACUGGAUGCAGAAAUGGGGAUGGAAUGAUUGUGAACUUGGGGAAACAGGCCCGGGCUUCUCUGAGCAGCAGCUGGGGUAUGUAAAGGCGGGACGGCCUCGACCCAGCCUCUGUGCACGAGACUGACGCCCAGUAGGGGACGGGCGGCCCUGGUAGGGUCCAGUUCCAGAGGCAGCGCUAGAGGGGCAGCACUCUGGCUUCCGGCCCUUCCUGGCUAGACCGACUCUCGGCCGUGUGCAGGGGAGGGCGGCAGCCCAGUGGGGACGUGUCUCGCGCCCAGGUGUCGGUGACAGACAGAAAGCUGGGCGAGGCCGUGCCUCUGUGGCCGGGCGUCUCCGUGUGCUGGGACCAUCUUUGGGACUUCGCGAAUGGGACAGUCCGAUUUUCCCCACAGCUCAGUUUGGGCAUCUGUUUGGGGGGAAGUGUGAUUAAAAAGAAAUCAUGUGCUGUGGUAGCCAGUAAAUCCCUCACCUGAGACC
rnacentral:lncRNA from 1 species